rnacentral:rRNA from 1 species
GAUGAACGCUGGCGGCGUGCCUAAUACAUGCAAGUCGAGCGAACAGACGAGGAGCUUGCUCCUCUGACGUUAGCGGCGGACGGGUGAGUAACACGUGGAUAACCUACCUAUAAGACUGGGAUAACUUCGGGAAACCGGAGCUAAUACCGGAUAAGAUAUUGAACCGCAUGGUUCAAUAGUGAAAGACGGUUGUGCUGUCACUUAUAGAUGGAUCCGCGCCGCAUUAGCUAGUUGUUAAGGUAACGGCUUACCAAGGCAACGAUGCGUAGCCGAACUGAGAGGGUGAUCGGCCACAUUGGAACUGAGACACGGUCCAGACUCCUACGGGAGGCAGCAGUAGGGAAUCUUCCGCAAUGGGCGAAAGCAUGACGGAGCAAGGCCGCGUGAGUGAUGAAGGUCUUCGGAUCGUAAAACCCUGUUAUUAGGGAAGAACAACUGUGUAAGUAACUAUGCACGUCUUGACGGUAACUAAUAAGAAAGCAACGGCUAACUACGUG